GAUGAACGCUGGCGGCGUGCUUAACACAUGCAAGUCGAACGGAAAGGCCCAAGCUUGCUUGGGUCCUCGAGUGGCGAACGGGUGAGUAACACGUGGGUGAUCUGCCCUGCACUUCGGGAUAAGCCUGGGAAACUGGGUUUAAUACCGGAUAGGACGAUGGUUUGGAUGCCAUUGUGGAAAGUUUUUUCGGUGUGGGAUGAGCUCGCGGCCUAUCAGCUUGUUGGUGGGGUAAUGGCCUACCAAGGCGUCGACGGGUAGCCGGCCUGAGAGGGUGUACGGCCACAUUGGGACUGAGAUACGGCCCAGACUCCUACGGGAGGCAGCAGUGGGGAAUAUUGCACAAUGGGCGCAAGCCUGAUGCAGCGACGCCGCGUGGGGGAUGACGGCCUUCGGGUUGUAAACUCCUUUCGCUAGGGACGAAGCGUUUUUGUGACGGUACCUGGAGAAGAAGCACCGGCUAACUACGUG
rnacentral:rRNA from 1 species